CUUGCAGCCACGUAUCUGCCACUGUGUACCGGUACACGAUGAUGGUUGUACCGGUACACAAUGCAGAAUUUCGCCAGAAAUGCACUUUCUUACUUCCAGCCAUUCCACUACUUCUCUAACUUGUCCAAAAACUUGUCCAAGCCCUUUAGAAGAUGUAGGGUAGUUCUGCUUAUCAUUCCCCACAUUCGAACUUCGCAAUUGAUCAAAUUCAGAGCAUUGCAAUUGAUAAUGCAUUUGCGAUGCACUUUUUCAAUUCCAGUUACUAUCUUACUU
rnacentral:lncRNA from 1 species